rnacentral:snRNA from 1 species
GUGCUUGCUUCGGCAGCACAUAUACUAAAAAGUUAGAAUGGUACAGAAAAGAUUAGCAUGGCCCCUACACAAGGAUGACCCACAAAUUCGUGAAGCGUUCCAUAUUAAA